GGGCAUCAGAUAUCCUGGAACUGUAGUUAUGGGCCUCCGUGUAGGUGCUGGGAAUUGAACCCGGGUCCUCUGGAAAUGCAGCCAGGACUCUUAACUGCUGAGCCAUCUCUCCAGCCACAUGUCCAAAUAAUUUUUCUGGAGCAAGAAACUUACAACCACCCAUGAUACAAACAAAGUAACCAGGAAAUGGAAUCAUCCCUGAUGCCCAGCAACUGAUGGAUGGAUAAUGAAAAUGUGGUUUAUAUACACAAUGGAACUUGAUCCAGCUAUGAAGAAAAAUGAAGUUAUGAAAUUUGCAGGAACUCUACCCCUGCUCCAUGGUGUUAAGCCUUAACAUCUCUCCGUGGCCUCUUCAAUCCAGGGGCUUGUACUGCCACUGAGGCUGCACCUUCACCAAUGGCCUCUCCUGGCUUCUCACAGGGCCACGCCUCUGCCACUCUCCAUGACCCCGUCAUGCCUUCAAAACCAGUACCAUCUGGGAAACUCUUAGGCGUUGCCCAAGUUCAGCUGUCAGCAUAAGGUAGAGCCUUGGUGUCCCCUGGAUCAGAGCUUCUGUUGUGCUGACCCCGAGAAAACACUUCCCAGAAAAUGUGGUCUAACGAUGUCGCUCUCCCUUAAGCACAGCUGACUCUUCCGUCCCAGAUGACCAGUAUCAACUGUCCCAGCAAAGCAGGAGUCUUAGCUUUGUGCUUAUGGCCUCUUGUUAGCCGCAGCCCAUUCUUCAGCUCCAGCCCUGAUGGAAUCUUUGCUUCCCUCUGAACUUCAUAGGCAAGGCCUCCGUCAUCGGCAUCGCUCUCAACGUUUUUAUCUCACAGAACAGUCCACUGAGCUCUGAGCACUCAACAGCCUUUCUACCCCAAAGUUCAAAUGUUACCACAAAUCCUCCCAAAAACACGUGGUCAGGUCUGUCAUAGCAAUAACUAAUGACCUGGCUCCAAUUUCUGCCUUCUAUUGUUGUGAUAGACACAAGGACUACAAGAUUAAGGGUUUAUUUUAGCUUAUUGUUCAUAGUCCAUUGUCAAGAGAAAUCAGGGCAGUAACCCGAGACAGGAACCUGGAGGCAGGAACUGAAGCAGAUGCCAUGGGGGGCGGGGAGCUACUUACUGGCUUGUUCCUCAGAGCUUUCUCAGCCUGCUUUCUUACAGCACCCAGGCCCACUUGCCCAGGGGUGGCAUCACUCAUACACCCCUGUGGGCUGGGACUUCCCACAUCAAUCAUUAAUCAAGAAAAUGUACCAGACUGGCCUACAGGCAAUCUAAUGGAAGCACUUUCUCAACUGAGGUUUCUCUUCCCAGAUAACUCUAGUUUGUGUCUAGUUGGUAAGAAAAGGAAGGAAGGAAGGAAGGAAGGAAGGAAGGAAGGAAGGAAGGAAGGAAGGAAGGACGACAGAAACCAACUAGCAGAGUCUCUAGUAAAGGACCCAUACCUAGAAUGUUAAACUUGCUUAUACAAUCUAAUAAGAAAUGACCAGCUCAGCCGGGCAGUGGUGGCGCACGCCUUUAAUCCCAGCACUCGGGAGGCAGAGCCAGGCAGAUCUCUGUGAGUUCGAGGCCAGCCUGGGCUACCAAGUGAGUUCC